rnacentral:rRNA from 1 species
UACGUAGGUGGCAAGCGUUACUCGGAAUCACUAGGCGUAAAGCGCAGGUAGGCGGUUUGGUAAGUCUGUUGUGAAAGCUCCCGGCUCAACUGGGAGGGUGCGCCGAAUACUGAAUGACUUGGAGUGCGGGAGAGGUGAGUGGAAUUCCUGGUGUAGCGGUGAAAUGCGUAGAUAUCGGGAAGAACACCCGUGGCGAAGGCGGCUCUCUGGGACGGUACUGACGCUGAGACGCGAAAGCGUGGGGAGCGAACAGG